rnacentral:rRNA from 1 species
UACGUAGGGUGCGAGCGUUAAUCGGAAUACUGGGCGUAAAGCGUGCGCAGGCGGUGAUGUAAGACAGUUGUGAAAUCCCCGGGCUCAACCUGGGAACUGCAUCUGUGACUGCAUCGCUGGAGUGCGGCAGAGGGGGAUGGAAUUCCGGCGUGUAGCAGUGAAAUGCGUAGAUAUGCGGAGGAACACCGAUGGCGAAGGCAAUCCCCUGGGCCUGCACUGACGCUCAUGCACGAAAGCGUGGGGA